CAGUCGCCGCGGGAAAACGAAGGGGGCUAGCGUUGCUCGGAUUUACUGGGCGUAAAGGGCGCGUAGGCGGACAGUUUAGUUGGGGGUGAAAGCCCGGGGCUCAACCUCGGAAUUGCCUUCAAUACUGGCUGUCUUGAGUAUGGGAGAGGUGAGUGGAACUCCGAGUGUAGAGGUGAAAUUCGUAGAUAUUCGGAAGAACACCAGUGGCGAAGGCGACUCACUGGCCCAUUACUGACGCUGAGGCGCGAAAGCGUGGGGAGCAAACAGGAUUAGAUACCCCCGUAGUCCCUGUCUCUUAUAC
rnacentral:rRNA from 1 species